UACGUAGGGUGCGAGCGUUGUCCGGAAUCAUUGGGCGUAAAGCGCGUGUAGGCGGCCCGGUAAGUCCGCUGUGAAAGUCCAGGGCUCAACCCUGGAAUGCCGGUGGAUACUGUCGGGCUCGAGUCCGGAAGAGGCGAGUGGAAUUCCUGGUGUAGCGGUGAAAUGCGCAGAUAUCAGGAGGAACACCGAUGGCGAAGGCAGCUCGCUGGGACGGUACUGACGCUGAGACGCGAAAGCGUGGGAGCAAACAGG
rnacentral:rRNA from 1 species